ACUUUUUGCCAGUAAUAUCUGAACAUGUUCUGAGCCAAUUUUGGUAAAAAUGGGACAAAUCCUCUAGGAGGAGUUUGAUAAAGUAGUCAUUUCAGAAAAUUCUAAAUGACAGAAAAUGUUCAUUAUGGAACAUGAUGCAAUCAAAAUGGAAAACAGUUAUUUUAAAAUUGAAUACUAUUUUACAGUAUUUGUGACUUUACUGUAUUGCUAAUAAAACAUGUAGCCUUUGUAAGCAUACGAUACUUCUUUUAAAAACAUAAUCAAUCAAUCUUUCAGACCCCAAAUUUUUGAACACCAGAUUAUAUAUGUGGUGGUCCCAAAGUAUUGUGGGUGAACAAAGGCCUCCUGUCGUGAAUUGAUGCAUUUUUGUAAGAAAAAUAUCCAUAUUCAAAAAGUAAUAAUCACUUGAAUCUAGCUCACACUCACUGUUGUAAAUGGAAGCAGUUCCGGGGGAAUGACGUAUGAGGUCAGCUUUGCACCGCUCAGAAGUGACGCACGCGGAAACGCAGCAGAGAGAUCAAAACAAAACAACGGUCACUAAUUAGAAAUACAAAACAAGGAUUUGUAAAGAAGAAUGUUGGAGGAUUUCGAUAUAAGCCAAGAGGAAACUGGUUUUCCUUUGCUAAAAAUGCAACCCCCACUAACUGCAAUGAUAGAGCUUGAAAGAUCAAAGACAAUUUUUAAUACAACUCCGACUGGAUUCGUCUGAAAGUGUUGUUUGGUUCCGAACUUUCUUCAAAAUAUCAUUAUUUGUGUUCCACAGAAGCCAGUCAGUCAUACAGGUACAGGUGAUUUUCAGUAGACUUCAGAGAAGUCAGCUCCCCUCAAGUUUUUUUAUUUUUAUUUUUUGCAGAAUAGCCACAUGAACUACAGGUUCAUACAGGUUUGAUCAACAAGAGGAUGAGUAAAUGAUGAACAAAAAAAAUUGGACUGAAGUCAUCAACGUUCAAAAGUUUGGGGUCGGCAAGAUUUUUUUUAAUAUUUUGGAAAGUAGUGUCUUAUGCUUACCAUAAAGUUGCAUUUAUUUGACCCGAAAUA
rnacentral:lncRNA from 1 species